UGCACAAAGGCUUUUGAAGAUUCCUUGUUGUGGACACCUGCUGUUUUCAGGGGUACCCAUAGUGGUAGAAAUUCUAAAGCAGCAAAUCUUUUCCAAAGACUACCUAAUGGCUCGUUUGCUCCGUUAGUGACCAUCGCUUUUUACACAGUGAAGCCAAACCGUUUAUUUCCACAUAAAGAAUGUUCACAUUUCUGUCUGGCAUCAAAUAAAUCAUUUAUAUCAUAUGUAACUGUAUGUCGUGAAAAUGCUUACCCCUGUUGGUCACUUGUGCGCAUGACAGUUCCAUUAACAAUAUUAAGUUGGAAUUUGCUGUGCUUUGGUGCCGUCGUGUGGACAUACUGUGUAAUUACAUGUCUGCUUUAAUGGUGUGACGCUGUGAUUUGACAUCCUUUGGCGUCAUCAUGUGGAGUGAGCGUGAGUGAAGGGCAGUGAGUGUAGCACGCUUAAGAAGAUGCUGAGUACGUGUAACAAAAUCAACAUGACAACAUGAGGGAGGAGAGUUGUGUGAGUGACAUCACAAUGUUGCAGCUGGACACCGGCAAGAACAGCUGCUAAAUAAUCACACUAUUUCCAUUAUCUG